rnacentral:rRNA from 1 species
UACGUAGGGUGCGAGCGUUAAUCGGAAUUACUGGGCGUAAAGCGUGCGCAGGCGGUUAUGCAAGACAGAUGUGAAAUCCCCGGGCUUAACCUGGGAACUGCAUUUGUGACUGCAUAGCUGGAGUGCGGCAGAGGGGGGUAGAAUUCCACGUGUAGCAGUGAAAUGCGUAGAGAUGUGGAGGAAUACCGAUGGCGAAGGCAGCCCCCUGGGAUAACACUGACGCUCAUGCACGAAAGCGUAGGGGGAGCAAACAGG